rnacentral:tRNA from 1 species
GCCUAAAUCGCUCAGUUGGGAGAACGUUAGACUAUGAAUCGAAAAGUGCCUGGUUCGAUCCCGGGUUUUGAGU